GACGAACGCUGGCGGCGUGCCUAAUACAUGCAAGUAGAACGCUGAAGGAGGAGCUUGCUUCUCCGGAUGAGUUGCGAACGGGUGAGUAACGCGUAGGUAACCUGCCUGGUAGCGGGGGAUAACUAUUGGAAACGAUAGCUAAUACCGCAUAAGAGUAGAUGUCGCAUGACAUUUGCUUAAAAGGUGCAACUGCACCACUACCAGAUGGACCUGCGUUGUAUUAGCUAGUUGGUGAGGUAACGGCUCACCAAGGCAACGAUACAUAGCCGACCUGAGAGGGUGAUCGGCCACACUGGGACUGAGACACGGCCCAGACUCCUACGGGAGGCAGCAGUAGGGAAUCUUCGGCAAUGGACGGAAGUCUGACCGAGCAACGCCGCGUGAGUGAAGAAGGUUUUCGGAUCGUAAAGCUCUGCUGUAAGAGAAGAACGAGUGUGAGAGUGGAAAGUUCACACUGUGACGGUAUCUUACCAGAAAGGGACGGCUAACUACGUG
rnacentral:rRNA from 1 species